AAGAGUUAGGGUCUUCUCGGCCCGACCUCCCAACCCUUUGUCUAUUGAACCUCUGUUGCUUCGGCGGACCCGUCCCUUCGGGGACCGUCGCAAGGCGUCCUCUGGCCCGCGUCCGCCGGUGGCCGACAUUUAAACUCUUGAUUAAAUCAUGUUAUACUGUCUAAGUUUUAUAAGUAAUAAAAGCA
rnacentral:misc_RNA from 1 species